AUUUUCAGAAUCUCACAUUCAAUUCAAUCCUCUCACUCACGAAGAAUCCAAGGUGCAAGAAGGAAGAAGAAGCGCAACACGCAUCGAACAGAAGAAAAAGAAGGGAUUAAAGCCAAGGAAGAAGAAGAAGAUUGGUACCAGUCAACAUUCGAGCCUCAAUCCGGUGAGUCUUUGAUUCGUUUUCAUCGUGGUUUUCUUCUAUUUUCUCAUCCGAUAGCAGAACAAACUGAGUUACAAGUUUGACGAUGCUAGCUUCGAAUCUUGAAACGCCAUUGAAUCUCCAAACCGCGGUGAUGAAUGAACCUGGAAAUUGAAGAAUGCACACGUUGCGGUGAAUUCAGUUGUGUCUUCUUGCUGGAACCAGAGAAUCAAACACGAACGAUGACGAUGAAGAUACGCUGAUGUAAAGAACAUAAUGACACGUUGUAGGCAUUUCUUCGUUUCCUCUGUUGCAGCUCGACAUGAAGAGGUGAAAAUUGUAUGCACAAGGUCAUGUUUGGACCAGG
rnacentral:lncRNA from 1 species